CAGCUGCAAAAUAAAUAAAUGUAAAGAAAACGUAUGACUGAGCAAUGCUGAAAAUGGAUUUCAUUCUUUACAACAACUAUAUCUAUAAAUUCUAUAUAUUUUUGUAAUUUCUUUUGGUAACACUUUGGACACAAGAACUUAGUAAUUUAGAGAUUCUGUCUCUGCACCGGCUGUUGCUUCAAAUUUCAUCGGAGAGGCUGAAGCAUUUGGCCGCUUGGCUUCGGUCUCAAACACCCUGAAGGCAGCCUUGGCACGGCCCACUCCAGCAGCUGCAUACGCUCCAGCCUUGGGAAGAUACAGGCCUGCUUUGUUGAUGAAUCCUGGAGUAAAAUAAGCCUUUUUCUCUGCGGGGAAGAGGUCAGCGGAGAUUGUAAAUGGUCUGUCAUAGUUAUUUUGGUCUAGAACUUAUAGAAGUUGUUCCCCUAAUUCACCUGCCUUGAAGAAAAUAGACAUUUUCAAUUAGAUAUAUUCAAACUAAAAGUUAAAAUGCAGUUCCUGAAAAAAAAAUAAAAAUAAAAUAAAAACCUGCAUUAAUUAAUUCCAUCUUGGGCUUUCCAAUUUUUCUUUUGCUGUAUAUAUGUGGUUUCUCUCUGCUAAUAGCAACUGGAUACCAAACUGAUAUUUAUGCACUGAGCAAGGGGAUUUUCCAGCCAGGGAUCCUGCCCACUUCCUGAACCUUGAAUGGAGAGGAUGGUGUGGCACCCUGGACAUCCUAGAGGGUAAGAUUAUUUGCUGAAUUUUUAUUGUGUGGAUACCUUAUAGGUUAUUUAUUACUUAAAGUUCAGAUCGUUUUAAGCAGAGGUGGUAUGUUCAGGUCCAGAAAGUACAAAUCCGGGCUAAGGUUUUGUUUUAACCAUCCAGUAUAAAGAGGCACGGUUACAGUGUACUCAGCUGGUUGGUUGAAACAAAACCUUGGUCUGGAUUUCUGGAUUUGUACUUUCUAGACCUGACCUUUCCACCUCUGCUUAAACUUGAGUGGCCUCCUAAAAAAACGGUUACCUGGAGAUAUUUUCCUAACAGACCGUGGGUUCAAUAUUGGCGAUAGUGUGGGAUUUUACUGUGCUUCACUACAAAUACCUGCAUCACGAAAAGUUACCUGAAACAUUAACUAUUGCCUUAUAGACCAAGUUAUUGUUACCUAUUUAGGAAUCUAGUUACUUACUGCCUUGACAAAAUACAUGUAUGUCUCUGCAUUUUAGCUAUUACUUCCUCUAUUUGCUCACCAUCACUUUGUGGCAAAACUGAAAUUGGUACCCCUUUGAAAUUAUUAAGCAAGAGAGCUGAGGGCUGCUGGGAUUGCUAUCAAUGCCUUAGGCCUUGUCCACUGUGAAUGUGACUAUUUACUCACAGUGUGACUAAGAGAUAUGUGCGGCACAGAUGGGCUCAGAGCUUAUCUUAGUGUGCCAGCAUGACCCUGAGUUACUCUGCCGACUAAUAGGGAACACAGCUCCUAGUUUGUGCAAAACAGAACAGUGAAUGUAAGAUUAACUCAUGUUUUGUUGGAUUAGAGAAUAUACAUAAUACCCAUGUUUAUUAUGCAUUAUGAAUGCUCUAUGAAGCUGUCCGCUAUAAUGCACUAUAAAUACUUUCAUAAUGCAGUACACAGCAUCCUUAGUUCUUAUACUGACUGGUAUAAUGUAUAAAGGUGUUGUAAUACCAAAAUGUAAUGCCAUAAUAAUUAUGCACACGGUGUAGAAGGGAUAGGGAGUGACUGGCCUUGGAAGAUGGGAGCUGGAGAUGAAUUAGCAAGAAACCAGCAGGGAAUAAAGAAUACAUUCAUUUGUAAUGCGGGGGCGUCUUUCCCGUGUUUGCGGGGACCCUCUGUUUGCAAAGACAAAAUAAAUUUCUCCUACCCUACGA